rnacentral:lncRNA from 1 species
AGGAUUUCUUUGGUUUUGUCUAUGUCCUUGCAAACUGCUUUGUUUCAUUUCUUCUGCUCAGUAUCAGGGGGCUUUCUCUGGCCUCUGAUCAGCGAUGGUGUUUGGCCACAUUCUAGAGAUACGAAGUUGUAUAAGCACCAUUCUUUUAGACCCCAGUCACAACUAAAAUUGGGCCAAAGACCUGCUCCCUUCAUGUUUUCUCACGAUUGCAAUAACAUGUACCCAUAUAUCUGUAACU